rnacentral:rRNA from 1 species
GUCAACGCCGUAAACGAUGAGUGCUAGGUGCUGCGGGUAUUGACCCCUGCGGUGCCGUAGCUAACGCGUUAAGCACUCAGCCUGGGGAGUACGGCCGCAAGGCUAAAACUCAAAGGAAUUGACGGGGGCCCCGCACAAGCGGUGGAGCAUGUGGUUCAAUUCGACGCAACGCGCAGAACCUUACCUGGGUUAAAUCCACUGGAACCUUGCAGAGAUGCGGGGGUGCUCUUCGGAGAGCCAGUGAGAAGGUGCUGCAUGGCUGUCGU